GACGAACGCUGGCGGCGUGCUUAACACAUGCAAGUCGAACGGAAAGGCCCUGCUUUUGUGGGGUGCUCGAGUGGCGAACGGGUGAGUAACACGUGAGUAACCUGCCCUUGACUUUGGGAUAACUUCAGGAAACUGGGGCUAAUACCGGAUAGGAGCUCCUGCUGCAUGGUGGGGGUUGGAAAGUUUCGGCGGUUGGGGAUGGACUCGCGGCUUAUCAGCUUGUUGGUGGGGUAGUGGCUUACCAAGGCUUUGACGGGUAGCCGGCCUGAGAGGGUGACCGGCCACAUUGGGACUGAGAUACGGCCCAGACUCCUACGGGAGGCAGCAGUGGGGAAUAUUGCACAAGGGGCGGAAGCCUGAUGCAGCAACGCCGCGGGCGGGAUGACGGCCUUCGGGUUGUAAACCGCUUUCGCCUGUGACGAAGCGUGAGUGACGGUAAUGGGUAAAGAAGCACCGGCUAACUACGUGC
rnacentral:rRNA from 1 species